rnacentral:rRNA from 1 species
GAUGAACGCUGGCGGCGUGCUUAACACAUGCAAGUCGAACGAAGCACUUUACCUGAUUUCCUUCGGGAAUGAUUGUUCUGUGACUGAGUGGCGGACGGGUGAGUAACGCGUGGAUAACCUGCCUCACACAGGGGGAUAACAGUUGGAAACGACUGCUAAUACCGCAUAAGCGCACAGCACCGCAUGGUGCAGUGUGAAAAACUCCGGUGGUGUGAGAUGGAUCCGCGUCUGAUUAGCUUGUUGGCGGGGUAACGGCCCACCAAGGCGACGAUCAGUAGCCGGCCUGAGAGGGCGACCGGCCACAUUGGGACUGAGACACGGCCCAGACUCCUACGGGAGGCAGCAGUGGGGAAUAUUGCACAAUGGGGGAAACCCUGAUGCAGCGACGCCGCGUGAGCGAUGAAGUAUUUCGGUAUGUAAAGCUCUAUCAGCAGGGAAGAUAAUGACG